rnacentral:rRNA from 1 species
UACGGAGGGAGCUAGCGUUGUUCGGAAUUACUGGGCGUAAAGCGCGCGUAGGCGGCUUUGUAAGUUAGAGGUGAAAGCCCGGGGCUCAACCCCGGAACUGCCUUUAAGACUGCAUCGCUUGAAUCCAGGAGAGGUGAGUGGAAUUCCGAGUGUAGAGGUGAAAUUCGUAGAUAUUCGGAAGAACACCAGUGGCGAAGGCGGCUCACUGGAGCUGGUAUUGACGCUGAUGUGCGAAAGCGUGGGGAGCAAACAGG